UACGUAGGGUGCGAGCGUUAAUCGGAUUUACUGGGCGUAAAGCGUGCGCAGGCGGCCCGUUAAGACAGGUGUGAAAUCCCUGGGCUCUACCUAGGAAUUGCGCUUGUGACUGGCGGGCUCGAGUACGGUAGAGGGGGGUGGAAUUCCUGGUGUAGCAGUGAAAUGCGUAGAGAUCAGGAGGAACACCGAUGGCGAAGGCAGCCCCCUGGGCCUGUACUGACGCUCAUGCACGAAAGCGUGGGGAGCAAACAGG
rnacentral:rRNA from 1 species